rnacentral:lncRNA from 1 species
AAAUGCUAAGUUAUCGUAACAAAAAAAGGUAAAGGAAACACAAGGCCCUAAAUAUGUGUAACCAAGGAGGCAAGUAAAGCAGUCUUAUAACAACUAUACUAUCAGUUUAACAUGCUACAGAUUAACAUUUAAAUUGGUGGACUUGGGGUAAAGCAGAUUACACUCCGUAAGGCAGGUGGGGCUUACACAAUCAGCUGAAGGUCUGUCUAGAACAGAAGAUUUUUGAGCUCAAGGGACUUCUGCAGCAGAAUGCCUGCAACAUCCGCUCUUCCCCCAGUCUGCUCCCUGCCAGCCCACCCUGCAGGUUUUGCACUUUUCAGCCUCCAUAACCGUGUGAGCCAAUUCCUUAAAAUAAAUCUCUCUCUCUAUCUUAUCUAUCCAUCUACCUAUUUAUCUAUCAUCUAUCUACAUAUUCUAUUUCCUGCUGGUUUUAUUUUUCUGAAGAACCCUAGUCCAUUAUGUUGCAAAGCCCAAAGGGAUUUUACAGAUGGAAGUUAGGAAAUGGACCUUAAAAUGGGGAGAUUAUUCUGAAUUAUCCAGGCGGAUGCAAUCACCUCUGCCUUUAAAAGUAGAGACCUUUCUCUGUCUUGGGGCCAAGAAACAUGGCAGCAGGAGAAGGAGACUGACCUGACGCUUGAGGACUCUGUGUGCUGAUACUGGUGUGAAGACAGAAGGUGCCAUGUGAUGAGCUGUGCAGGUGGCCAAGGAGCACAGAAGCUCCCAGCUGAUGGCCAGGAAGCAAGAGGGACCUCCAUCCUGCAGCCAAUGGGGGGGCUGAAUUCAGCAACAACCUGAGCAAGCACAGAUAUGGAUUCUUGCCUUGAGAAAUGAACAUUACCCAAACGAUUAGCAAAUGGGAACCAGAUGGGGAAAAAUGAGGUCGAUAGCACUGCUCGUUCAACCAUGACAAAGAAAGUUCAGAGUUGAUUCUGAGUGUCUGAUACACAUUGGAAUUUGUUCAAUGUUUGUUGGAGACACCAAGGAUUAUCUCUUGGUUCUGCUUUUCAGAAGAGCUGUGGUCCUGCCCCUUUCAAGCCUCUCUCUAGGCAAGGUCCACUUGAGUAGGUAGCCGGCAGCUCAGCCUCUCCUGCAGCAUAUCACUGUGUGCUGACAAGAUGUUGUUUUUAUAUAAAUGUGCUUCUGCCAUGGUAACCAGCCCUGAUGCCCCAGCUUCAGGGGAAGGCACGGGGCCCAUCAGGAAUGGUGCCAGUGUUAGGCAUGUGCAAUGAACAGGGUCAGUAGAAAUCUUACCCAACGCUGUUCUCCUUAGAUUUCCUCCUGAGGAGAGAGCUGGUGCCUCUGGUGUCCUCAGACACCCUGAUUCCUGAGCAUCAUCCUCUGGAUCAUUGAGAACCUUGACGUCCUUCUCAUCCAUCCCCUUUUUUGGUUUUUUGGCCACGGCGUAUGGAUGUUCCUGGACCCGGGAUCAAACCUGCACCACGGCGUGACCUGAGCCACUGCAGUGACAAUGCGAGAUCCUUAACCCACUGUGCCACCAGGAAACUCCCUGUCUGAGCUCAUUUGAAUGGGGCUUCUGCUGUGUCUGGAAGAUGAACUGACCAAGGCCCACUUCAGAGACCUCUCCAUCGACCUGAAUGGUUUGCAAACUACGUUUUGUAUCAGAACAUUGUCUUUGAAUAAAAUCGCACAUGGGAAGCACAGAGAGAAAGCAGAUAAGGGCAAAGCUGCCCAGGUUGCUGGCCCCGGGGCUUGGGGAGAAGCCCCCCUCCAACCCCCACAGCUUCCCCUUCUUCCAGGCAUCCCUGGCUUCUGCGUAGGUCCUGAGAGCCACGUACUGAGUCCAUUGCAACUUCCCUUCCCUCCUCCAUACCAUCUGCAGACAUGGAGGAAAGGGGGGUGGGGGGAUGAGGGGCAUAGGUUUGUCCCCCUCCUCACCACAAAUCACAGUGGAGCUGAAACUGGAGCUGGGUCUCAUCUCACAAGCCCGUCUCCAGCCAUCUUUCUUUUUUCUCACGCUGCAUCUCAGUAACGCCCCACUGCUGUCUCUCCUCUGGACCGGACUCCAGCUGUUGCUGAGAGCUCAGGAGGGAAAGCCUGCCUCGCCCGGCACAAAAGGAGCACGUGAAACUUCUCUUUAGAGGUUUUGAUGAGGCAUUGUAGAGAAUAGAACUUUUCAUGGGUGGUUUUUUUUUGUUGUUUUGUUUUGUUUUUGCUUUCUUGGAUAGCAAAAAAAGUAACUUUUGAUAAAAGUAGGUUUAGUUUACAGAAACUUUGAACAAGCCUUCAGUCCCCAUGGUAACCACCCAAAUCUGAUCUUUUCUGUCCCCACAAUCAGGUAAUUAAGAAACCAGCACCUCCCCCCUCCCCCGAUUUUAGAGGAUGUUGAGGGUUUAUGGAAAAGACAAUGAAGCCCUAAAGGAAAGAACGUUGUGGUCUGUGUCUUUGUCACAUGAGGCACGUGCAGAGGUCAGAGACACCUAGGAAAUCUGAGAGGAAGCAUUUGCUCCUUGGAGACCCCAGGAUUCCCAUCUUGGCCUGAAAAGGGGCUCUUGUCUGCUCUUUAAUGAGCACCAAGCUCUCCUGAUUUUUCUUCGGUGUCUCCUCAUUCAUGCAUUUUCUAAAAAAAAUGAGUCUUUCUUGUAGCCAAUUAUAAGACUACCAGUAGCCAAUGCCUCCCUUCAUUCGUCUUUUGGUUUCAUGAAAGUUGAGAGGAAAAUGUGCAAGUAAACCGAAAGUGAGCCGUGAUGAGACAAUGGCUAUGAACUUGAAGCAGCACCUGUGUCCACAUCCAGUGGCUCAUCAAUGAUGUCCCAGCUCAGCUGAAAUAACAAGAGGGAUCCUCCCUCCAUCACAAGGAGUCCAUGGCCCUCCAAUGACCUCAGGCACAAGGACAACUGUGUGUUCCAUGGCCCAUCACGGGAGCUGAUCUCCACACGCUGGAAAGGGGUGGAGGCAAAGAGCUCAUGCAUUUCCAAAUAAUUUAUUUAACACAUUUCCUGCUGUCGACACAGCAUCCUCCUCAAAGAUCAAGGCGGGGGGGGGGCGGGAUGGAGCAAACAAGUGUCAGCCCCACCCCCAAAGGCUGGCCUGAGUGAUCAAGAUACCAGCAAUGACAACAUAGGAUGGCAAGUAUUACAAAGAAGGGAUAUUGGUACACGUGGCACACAGAAGAAGAGCGUGUGAUUGUCGCCAGGGAAGGGACGCCUGUGCUGGAUCUUGGAGCUGGAGAAUUUUCCAGGCAGGUGAGGGAAGGGUGGACACACAAAAAGAAUGUGAGAAAUAGAGAUGCAAGCAUGAGAAUAUGUUUUUAAUGGUUAUAUCUGGUCUUCAGGCUUCUGCAAUAAAGCACCAAAAACUGUGUAGCUUAAAACACAGAACUGUAUUCUGUCACUGUCUGGAGGCCAGAAGUUCAAGAUUGAAGUGUCAUCAGAGCUGCUUCCUUCUGAAGACUGGCAGGAGAAUCCGAUUCAUGCCUUUCACCUGUCUCAGGUUCUUUGCCAUUGCUUGGCCUCAAGAUGAUGCCACUUUAGGAGGGUCGCAUGUAGCAGUGAGCAGCGCUAAGCCUGCACAUGCGAGCAUGAUUCAGUUUCCUGUAUGCUCUCUUCAAUCAAAUGGAAGGGCUGAGUCAGAAAACAGGUGCAGAAUUAGAAAAUGGAAAAAAAAAAAAAAGAAAGAAAUUCCUAGAAGUAGUUUGAGUCCACUGAAAUCGCUGAAAUAUUUUUGCAAAUGUUUAGGGAUUGGAGACUCCAGACAUGUGCUCUGCCAAACUGGUCUUGACUUAAUGUCAGCUACACAUUAACUGUAAAGAAAAUGCCAUCAUGGUGUCUGGAAUUAAGUACAAAGAACAUGUGAAAUUUUCGGUCUUUGCAUGGCAGCAUGUUCUGGAGUCCAGUGAACCUUGAUGAAAAAAUGGUAAGAAGGGGAUAUUUGCAUAAACUCUUUUUCCCUUGAAUCAACAAAGUAUCCUUGAAUCAAAGAGAGUAAGCAGAAGCUCAGCAGGCCCCAUUUGACUGUGAACUACAUAGGCCAAGCAUACCUGACCCUGUAGUCUGAGAAAAAUAUUGCUCUCCAUGUGGCAGAUUGAGUCGAAAAGCCAGUCUACUCCCAUAUAUACCACAGAACCAAUUAAUGUUAUUUUGUUCCUCUUUAAGCUACAUCCUCUGAGCUAUGAUUUUUAAAAGAUAUGUCGCAUGUGGAUUUAGUAGUACGCUCAUAGAAUUUUUCUGCAUUCUUUUAAGAAAUUUGUUACUAAAUAUCUUAUCCACUAUUACCUUAUGUAUGGUAUUUAUAUUAUCCCAAAUCCACCCAGAGCUCAUUGCCAGAAAAAGGUUUUUCUCCUAGUGACCUGACUUCAUUCCUCCUACUUCACCAGAAUUUAAUUAAAUGUACUUUACUUAUUAUUUCUGUGAGAUAUUUAAGAUGUCACUUAAAAAAAGAUUCUGCUGGAGUUCCCGUUGUGGCUCAGUGGUUAAUGAAUCCGACUAGGAACCUUGAAGUUGUGGGUUCGAUCCCUGGCCUUGCUCAGUGGGUGAAGGAUCCAGCGUUGCCAUGAGCUGUAGUGUAGGUUGCAGAUGUGGCUCAGAUCCCACAUUGCUGUGGCUCUGGCAUAGGCUGGUGGUUGCAGCUCCGAUUUCACCCCUAGCCUGGGAACCUCCAUAUGCUGCAGGAAUGGUCCUAGAAAAUGGCAAAAAGACCAAAAAAAAAAAAAAAAGAUUAUGCCAUCAACUGAUGAAUGGAUUAAAAAGAUGUGAUAAGUGCGCGCGCGCGCACACACACACACACACACACACACAGGAAUACUACUCAGCCAUAAAAAAGAAUGAAAUAACACCAUUUGCAGCAGCACGGAUAGAACUAGAGAUUCUCAUACUAAGUGAAGUAAAUCAGAAAGAGAAAUAAAAUUACCAUAUGAUAUCACUUAUAUGUGGAAUCUAGAAUAUGACACACUGGAAGUUCCCAUUGUGGCUCAGCAAUAAUGAACCUGACUAGUAUCCAUGAGGAUGUGGGUUUCGUCUCUGGCUUUGCUCAGUGGGCAAAGUAUCUGGCAUUGCUGUGAGCUGUGCUGUAGGAUCCUGUGUUGCUGUGUCUCUUGUGUAGGCCAGCUGCUAUAGCUCAGAUUCAAUCCCUAGCCUGGGAACUUCCAUAUGCCACAUAUGUAACCCUAAAAAGCCCUAAAUAAAUAAAGCAGAAAUGAACCCAACUACAAAAUAGAAACAAAAAAUUCACAGACAUAGAGAAUAGACUUGUGGUUGCCAAGGGGGGCAGGGGGAGGGAGUGCAAGGGACUGGAGUUUGGGGUUAAUAGCUGAAAACUAUGACAUUAGAAUAGGCAAGUAAUAAGGUCACACGCUACAGCACAGGGAACUCUAUCCAGUCUCUUGGGAUAGAACCUGUUAGCAAAGAAUAUUAAAAAAAAAAGAAUGCACAUAUGCAUGACUGGGUUUCUAGGCUGUACAGCAGAAAUUGCCACAACAUUGUAAAUCCACUAUAUUUUAAUUAAAAAAAAAAGUUCUGUGGUUAGAUAUAUUUGGGAAAUCCUGGGACAAAUACAGUUAAUCCCAAUGUAACUGAGAAGCAGAUCUGAGUCUUUUGAUGUACAUAGGAAGGUCCAGUUUCCCCUAAAUUAUUUGACAAACAGAAGCCUUUUUACUGCAAAACGUUUUUUUUUCCAGUUUGGAGUUAUGUGAAAUGUUCUUGGAGACGUGAGCUAUAAUAAGCAUUGUUUCUCCCUCUUUGCUUUGGCCACCCUAAAGCUCAUGUAGUGGCCACCUCUCAGCGAUGCUGGCAGGGGAUGUCCUGCCCUGGGAAGAACGACAGGAUCCCUGCUGACCUCAACGUGACGUUUCUGAUUUGCUUGUUCCGGGAAGAGCCAUGCAUGAAGAACACAGAGGAAAGGAGGUCCCUUGUCCCUGGGGAUGAAGGGACCUCCUGAAGGAUGGCUAGGUCUGGGCAAGGACCAGCAGACCUCCUCCCUACCCCCUGACAGAAGAGCGCACCUGCGCCUCCAAAAGGCGUGUCAAGAGGAUUUGGGAAGCAAAGGUGGAGGACACCAAGGCCUCCUGCUUUCAGGGAGGUGUGUGUGGGCUGAUCAGAUAAAGGAACCAGGGUUUUCUAAUCCCAUCCAGUUGCUCUCAAUCCUUAUCAGACCCCGGGCU